rnacentral:rRNA from 1 species
UACGUAGGGGGCAAGCGUUGUCCGGAAUCAUUGGGCGUAAAGCGCGCGUAGGCGGCCCGGUAAGUCCGCUCUGAAAGUCCAGGGCUCAACCCUGGAAAGCGGGUGGAUACUGCCGGGCUAGAGUACGGAAGAGGCGAGUGGAAUUCCUGGUGUAGCGGUGGAAUGCGCAGAUAUCAGGAGGAACACCCAUAGCGAAGGCAGCUCGCUGGGACGUUACUGACGCUGAGGCGCGAAAGCGUGGGGAGCGAACAGG